rnacentral:sRNA from 1 species
UGAAACUUUACCUCCUGCGGUCCACCAGAGCAGAGAGCCGGCCUUUCUACCCCUCUGAACCCAGCUCUGGUCCUCCUCUCAGUCUGGGGGUUGGAAAGUGGUACCUGAUUAGAGCUGAGACACCUGGGACAAGGUAGCCUUCCCCCUUGGAUUGGAACAAGAAGUGGCUUUAGCACACUCCAGAAGGUGUUGCCAGGGGCCCAGAUGCCCUGACACUUCUUGAAUACACUGAGACCCGGAAUCAGUUCCUUGAUGAACUCAUGGAGCUUGAGAUCUUCUUAGCCCAGAGAGCAGUGGAGUUGAGUGAGGAGGCAGACGUCCUGUCUGUGAGCCAGUUCCAGCUGGCUCCAGCCAUCCUGCAGGGUCAGACCAAAGAGAAGACGGUUACCAUGGUGUCAGUGCUGGAGGAUCUGAUUGGCAAGCUUACCAGUCUUCAACUGCAACACCUGUUUAUGAUCCUGGCCUCACCAAGGUAUGUGGACCGAGUGACUGAAUUCCUCCAGCAAAAGCUGAAGCAGUCCCAGUUGCUGGCUUUGAAGAAAGAGCUGAUGGUGCAGAAGCAGCAGGAGGCACUUGAGGAGCAGGCAGCUCUGGAGCCUAAGCUGGACCUGCUGCUGGAGAAGACCAAGGAGCUGCAGAAGCUGAUUGAAGCUGACAUCUCCAAGAGGUACAGCGGGCGCCCUGUGAACCUGAUGGGAACCUCUCUGUGACACCCUCCGUGUUCUUGCCUGCCCAUCUUCUCCGCUUUUGGGAUGAAGAUGAUAGCCAGGGCUGUUGUUUUGGGGCCCUUCAAGGCAAAAGACCAGGCCGACUGGAAGACGGAAAGCCACAGGAAGGAAGCAGCACCUGAUGGUGAUCUUGGCACUCUCCAUGUUCUCUACAAGAAGCUGUGGUGAUUGGCCCUGUGGCCUGUCAGGUGAAAACCACAGCUUCUUCUAAUUAGUAU